rnacentral:lncRNA from 1 species
GAAAUGAUGAUAGGACUGUAAGAGUCCUGAAGGAAUUGAGGGCUCUGACCCUGAGAGGAUUUUAACUAAAUGGCUACUUAGUUUAUUGGAUUUACUUGGGAACAGAGGGUGGAGGGGCAGGGAGGAAAAAGCUUAAAUGAAGCUGGAUGGAAAAAAAGAUUCUCUAAUAUAUCAGACUGAACAGUAGCUGAGGCUGCACCCAUGUCAUAGUUUCAACCUUCUUCAGAGUUAGAAUCCAGCAGAAACAAGUUGAUAGUUCUCCAGUUUUGUGCCAAGGGAGGAGGACUGUAAGCUCCUUCCUUGUGAGGCAUGAGCAGAGCUGCAUGGAGCUCAUCAGCCCAGCGUUAGCCAGGCACAGAUAGCAACUUGAUUUUAAGCAAGGAAAACAUCAUCAAAAUCAAGAACAUCUCUGAUCUAUUUAUUAUCCUGCUGUUAUAAAAUCUUGUGCUCAACACCACAGAGUGAUUCCCAGCUGACCCCACUCAGGAUCCUGUUCUGAAUGAUGUCUGCCCAUCAACGCCGGUCUUCCAGGGCAAGGCCAGCCUGCUGGCUAGCAGAGGCCUGAUUAAAUUGCUUUGUAAACAUGGAAAUUAA